AUUUUGAGCUGAAGAAGGCAGCUGUUCAGUAUUUUUACAAACAUUUUUGUCAAAGUUAUGGAAAUUAGCCAUCCCUUUCAACCUUUCUAAUUUGAAGCAAUCACUGUGUUCUGCAGAAUACAUUCUCAGAGAAUGGGUAAAUCAUUAUCUCCCUUGGGAUCUCUGGUUCCAAGCCUUUGAAAACGGGGAAAUCUUCCAGUUUUACAAAAGUUAAUUGCCAGUGACUAGUCUACACGGACAUGAUUAGGAAUGCAAAAUGGGGCAUAUCUGGGAUCUCCUAACCAUCCCAACUUAAUCAUUAUUUUUAUUACUUGUUUCCCUGUGAAUUCUGUGUUAUUAAAGCUGAACUGCUACAUCAUCGCUUGUAUUUUAUAAAUUGUUAAAUUUCCCUGUUAUCAAUAAUGUCACUUUUAGUUCAAUUAGCUGAGUUUUCUUUGCGUCAACAUGUUCCAACUUCAGAAUUGUUUGCUCUUUUUUCACAGAGGAAAUGUCUUUUGAAAGCUUUACUGACUCCAGGCAGAUUUCUUUCAACAAUUUCUUGCUUCUUGUGAUGUUAGAAGAGCAAUUAUGUUCCUGUGAGCAGCUGAUGGAGGACAUCAUCAACAUGGAAGUACUCCUUUGUGAGAGAAGUAUCAGCUUACCUUUAUAUUAAUAGAUAUUACCUUUGGAUAUAUCUGUGGGAAAAGAAAAGCUAUUUCAGUAAGUGGUAUCUCUAUUGUACUUCUCCACCUAAGUCAAAAUAUUCUUUCAGAUGGCUUCUCUAGUUAAGGUACUUCCAGUAAAAAAGAUAUAAAAUUUCACAAAAUACUCUUUUUUUUAACCAAAUUAAUGUCAGAAUUAUGACAUAAUUCUGGCUUCUGUAUUUAUUGUCCUUUUGACUCUGCUGAAGAUUUGAGUAGUUAAAGGCAUAUAUAGAAGUAUAUAUUCUUCAAUUGUUUAGACAUUACAUCAUGAUAAUAGUGAGUCUAAUAAGAUAAAAUGUUACUGACAGAGCAAAAAAGAAAUAGAAAUCAAAUAAGCUGUUAAAACUUUCACAAUAUAAUUUAUUACACUAUUUUCUCCACUGACAAGUAUUUUGAGAAUAAAAAUCUUUUACAACAAAUUUAGUUAUAAAAUAAACUUGUAACACAUUAGAGGCUCUACUAGAUAUUAUCUUAGCAGAAAUACCAUUUUUUCACUAAGCUUCAGGUAUGUGAGACUACCUAUAUGAAAAUAUUUUAUGUUGAUGUCCAUUAUGGCUAGGAACAGUUGAAGAAAAUGAGGCUUAACCCAAGGGCAAACCUGUGAAUUGCAGAGAAUUUUUUCUGGCUGUAUCACUUUUACUACAUUUUUUUUUUAUUCAUAUGGUUACUCUUUCCCCAUUUUCAAUCAUCCAACACUCUUCUGUUAUCUAGCUUGUUCUUCCUUCAUGCAAACAUAAUUAGAGCUGAUAACAGCUAUUUGAACAUGUUAACUCACUCAUUUUCUUUAGAGUUAGUGUAGUAGCUCAGCCAAGCAUUAAACUUCUCUCUCAUUGUAGAAUAAAAUUGUUUUUAAUUAAAGUUAAUUAAAGUAGGGAGACUCCAAAUGACAUCAUAUUUACUGAAAUGCAGAAUAAUUCUGAAUGCAACUCUGGUAGCUUUUUGAGGGUCUUCAGUGGUAAUAAUAUGAGAGUGUAGAAACAGAAAGGAUAGAAUUGGGACUUUGUGUCCAUCUGUAAUGGCAAAGUUAGACAGGGGGCUAGUCUGGCUUUGCCUGCUGAAGGCUUAUUUAACAGAGGGCUUGGAAUGUGAGUGAGCAUGCCUGGAAUAUUAAAACAUUUCUAAGGGCUUAUUUUUGUGUGACACCAUGAAAAAAUAGUUAAAUAAUGAAACAUACAACCUUAACAUAUUCUUAGUUUCUAAUGUGACAAUGGUAAUUCUCAAAAGAUAAAUCUGCAAGUAAGUUUAAUAAAUAAAUAUAUUUCCUUAAAAAUGGUGUGUGCUUUUUAUAGAAUUAUGAGCAAAUAGUUACAUGGCAGGAUACCUCAUAUCUAGGAUAUAUUCUUUUUUAAUUGUAACUAUUCAUUGAAGAUAUAGGAUUUCAUAAAUUGAGAGAUGAAAGGAAAGGAGCUUGACAAACUGGUAAAGAAAUUCAGACAUGGCAAAGAAUAACUUGUUGCAGGCCAUGCAAUACAUAAAAUCUAUAGAAUUUAUUUCUGUUUAAACCUAUUUAACUGAAUGGAAAACUAUACAGACAACCAGGUUUUGAGGGGCCAGAAAUUUGAUGAGAAUAGUGAGGCAGGUGUAAUACUGAGGUGAGCCUUACAUUUCCCUUGAGGGAUCUUUUAGUUUCUAAAUAGCACAAGGCCAAAAGACCAAGAAGACAGCCACAAGGCAGAUAAAAACCUAAGCUAAGACUUUGGCCUUAUUGGGAUGUCUCAAGAUAAAACUUGUAGUUUAAGAAAGCAGGAUGUCAAGAAACUAAAUUACAAAGAAAAAGGGAGAAGAAUAAGGGAAUUUUAGCAUCGUGUCAUGUUCCUCCUUAAGACGUUUGCUAAAUUUUAUCUGGUAUAGGGCUAACAGGAUAUCAAAUGGAGUCAAGAGUAGCAGCUAAAGGUAUGGGCAGCAAAACAGGGUAUUUGGCAGUUUCCCAGGAUUGAAGAAGAAAAAAUUGGAGAAGGGACUCUAGUUAAUAUCCCUGACUUCUUAUUAUAAAUAGAAUAAAAGAAGGUUAUACUCCAAAAAAUAGGUAACAAGAAUUAUAUCAACUCUUAACAAAAAUGUGAAACUCAGCUCCGGACAAGCACAACCCCACAAUGGAAAAGCAGGUCUGCCCUAUAUUUAAGGUACCUGAGAAAAAUCUAAAGGAAAUCCUCCCUGAAGGAAGAAAAUAUGAGACAAAACAUCAAAUUAUAUCUAUAAUUUUUCAUUAGCAAUAUUCUACAUGUGAUCAAACUUACUAGGCAUGUCAGAAGUCAGAAUCAAAAAACAGAAAACUAAAACAUAAUAUAAGCAGAUACAAAGGUGAAUUAGAGUUGGAGAUAUCCAUCAUAGAUUUUAAAAUAACAAAGAAUAAAAUGCUGAACAAAAUUGUUAGCAAGAUCAAGAAUCUCACUAUGCAACUGGAAUUUAUAAAUAAUAACCCAAUGGAAAUUACAGAACUGAAAAUGUUAACAUUUAAAUUAAGAAUGCAAUAGAUGUGCUUAAACAGUUAAAGAGAGGAUGUUCGAACUAAGGAGAGAUCAUUAUAAAAUAUACAGACUGAAGUUCAAAAACUAAAGAGAAUCUAUAAUAUACAAAAGAGCAUACAAGACACAUGAGACAAUUUAAUAUCUGUAAUUGUAUUUGUAUAACGAGAAGAGAGAAAUGUUAAAGCAGCAAUAUUUGAAAAGAUAAUAGGUGAGAAACUUUCAGAGCCAAUAGAAAGACAUCAACCCACACAAUCCAGAGCAUUAACAAACACCAAGGAGAACUGGGGCAUGAGGUAGGAAAAUCUAAAAGCAUUAGAGUAAAACUGACCUUUUUUUAAAUGCAUAAAAAUGUUGUAAAAGUAGUCAGAUAAAUAAAAGACAUUAUCUUCAAAGGAAAGACACUUCAUUAGAAACUAUGGAGGGCAGAAAACAAUAGAAUGACAUUUUGUAAAUGCUCAAAGAAAAUAUGCCAAACUGUACUUGUUUAUUCAGCAAAAAUAUCCUUCAAAAAGGGAAAUUAAAUAAAGAUGUUUUCAGCCAAACAACUGAGAAAACUCAUCAACAGCAAACCUGUGCAAACAUACAUAUUUAAAGAAGUUCAUUAGACAGAAGACUAAUGAUCUAAAGAGAAGCACAGAAAUGAGAGAAGGAAAGAACAAUGAAAGAGUUAAAUAUGUGGGUAAAUCAAAAUAAAAAUAACCUAAGUAGACCGGGUGCAGUGGCUCACACCUGUAAUCCCAGCACUUUGGGAGGCUGAGGCAGGCAGAUCACAAGGUCAGGAAAUUGAGACCAUCCUGGCUAACACGGUGAAACCCCGUCUCUAUUAAGCAUACCAACUUUUAAUUCAAAACUGCUUCAUAAUGCAAUUUGACCAAAAAAGUCUACAUGCUAAAAUAAGAUAUAAUCCUACAACAACUGACUAAAGCAUAACAUUACAAAAAUUUAUUUGUAUUAAAAAGAUAGGUUAAUUAAAAAGCAACUCACCUGAUUAAGGUAACUAUUU
ensembl:lncRNA